rnacentral:lncRNA from 1 species
CUCUAGGUGGGGCUGAGAAGGGUAUCCCAUAUCCUCUAAGACCUGAGAGAUUAGCCUCGGAAAUAAGAGUGGAAUAGUACCAGCUCUGCGUAGGCGCUUCCUAUGCACCUUCUCCUCAAAAUAGGUAAGAGCAGCCAUGACUAGAUGGUGGGGUCCAAAGUAGAAUCCCUCAGAGAUGCGGUAAAGCGCAUCUAGGAUAGCACCUCUCCUCUGGACAACAUGCUGGAGUGGAA